ACAGGGAUAACAGGCUUGUGCAAGCCAAGCUUUCAUAGCAACGUUGUUUUUUUAACCUUCAGUGUCAGCUCUUCCGAUCAUUAUGAAGCAGAAUUCAUCAAGCGUUGGAUUGUUCACCCACUAAUAGGGAACGCGAGCUGGGGUUAGACCAUCGUGAGACAGGUUAGUUUGUUGAUGUGUUAUU